AACAUGCAAAUGAUAAAUUUCUAGUUUUAGUCUUACCACAAGAUAUUUAAUCAUUUGCCGGGUAUAUGGAGAAGAAGGACGGUGGAGAAUUGAGUCGCCGACGGCCAGCCCCGGGGACUGCGACUGAGCCAACUCAUGCGGCGGAGUUCAGGGGGGCUCCGGGUUCCAUACUUCACGCCGUUUUCGCCCUUAUGCUUGUGCUUGGUUGCGCUCAUCUUAUCGGCCUCAUCGUCUUGGCUUCCUUCAUAAUUCUUCCUCCCUCCAAAGCUUUGGUGGUCAUAGCGCUGCUGAUUUUGUUUACGGUGCUUCCAUCUUGCGAAGGAAGCAAAUGGGGACGGAACUUAUCAAGGUAUAUAUGUAAGCAUGCUUGUGGUUACUUUCCAGUUAAUCUGUAUGUGGAGGACUAUAAAGCCUUCGAUCCUAAACAAGCUUACGUUUUCGGGUACGAGCCACAUUCACUUGUGCCAAUUGGGGAAAUUGCACUUUCCAACCUUACAGGAUUCAUGCCACUCCCAAAGACCAAAAUCCUUGGAACUAGUGCUGUUUUUUAUGCACCGUUCUUGCGACAUAUAGCCACAUGGUUGGGAAUUAAACCGGCAACCAAGAAAAAUUUUCUUACCCUUCUGGAAUCUGGCUAUAGCUGCAUCAUAGUGCCAGGAGGAACUCAAGAAACGUACUAUAUGGAGCCUGGUUCAGAGAAUGUCUUCCUCAAAAAAAGGAAAGGAUUUGUACGGGUUGCUAUGGAGACGGGCAAACCGCUGGUCCCGGUUUUUUGCUUUGGCCAGUCAGAAGCGUACAAGUGGUGGAAGCCCAAGGGAAAAUGGUUCUUGCAGUUCUCGAGAGCUAUCAAGUUUAUGCCAGUUAUUUUCUGGGGCACACUUGGGUCUCCUAUACCUUUUAGGCGUCCAAUGCAUGUUGUGGUUGGAAAACCUAUUGUCCUCCAACAAAAUCCACAACCCACCGUGAAAGAGGUUGAUGAAGUGCAUGGGCAAUUUGUUGCUGCACUACAAGAUCUCUUUGAAAGGCACAAGGAAAGGGUUGGUUAUGCCGAUCUUCAAUUGCGAAUUUUUUAGCUGAUACUUUCUCUCAUCGCAAGAAUUGCAACAAAUUCCAAGUAUUGCCCGCAGAAGUGCAAGUUUGUGCCGAGCGUAGACGCAAGCGUUGCCUGCACAAGCAAAGAGGAACCUACCCGCCAGCUAGCACCAUCCGGGCUGCUGAUCUUAGGGUCACGAGCAGUUGAUGAAAUAUGUACAGGCUUUCGGUGCGGGAGUCAAAUUUUUGCAGUGCUUCAAAGAAACAUUUUGUGGCAGCCAAAAGCGAAAGAAAAAGACGACCUUUAGUUGAAUCUCAGACACAGGAUUGGCCACAUAUCUGAGACCCAAUGGAGCUAACCACCGACUUUCUCAAAUCUUCGCGUCUCACAAGAAUAAGCCCAUGUUGGUCUUGAACCUCUAUUGAGAUUCUCCAUCUUAAAUGACUUCAUCAUCAUUACAAAACCUUGAAGCCAUAGAAGUUAUGGCAAUAUAACUACUAUAGCCUACGGAAAAGUUUCAUCCUGCUGCUGCUCUUGUAUUCACGUUAAUCCCCAUAAGAUUCAGGUCAACUGCGAGAGAAAAUAAGUGGAAAAGAAAUGAAAAAUCUUGCUAGCUCAUUCUGAUAAUUCUGCAUGCCAGGUUAAAGGACAUCAAAAUCAACUCUGAACAGUCUUAGAUACACACAACUUUGGAAAUUGUAUUUAAUUAUGACCCCAAGAUUGCGUACCA